UAGUGUAGUGAUGUUUUACCAUCUUUCGGGGCAUAUAAUUGCUGAUGAUAUUUUUAUUUUACUGAACACUA
rnacentral:snoRNA from 1 species